GAUGAACGCUGGCGGCGUGCUUAACACAUGCAAGUCGAACGAAACACCUUAUUUGAUUUUCUUCGGAACUGAAGAUUUGGUGAUUGAGUGGCGGACGGGUGAGUAACGCGUUGGUAACCUGCCCUGUACAGGGGGAUAACAGUCAGAAAUGACUGCUAAUACCGCAUAAGACCACAGCACCGCAUGGUGCAGGGGUAAAAACUCCGGUGGUACAGGAUGGACCCGCGUCUGAUUAGCUGGCUGGUGAGGUAACGGCUCACCAAGGCGACGAUCAGUAGCCGGCUGGAGAGAGGGAACGGCGACAUUAGGACUACGACACGGAGCAAUAUGCAACGGGAGGCAGCAGUGGGGAAUAUUACACAAUGGGGGAGAGUCUGAUGCAGCGACGCCGCGUGAGUGAAGAAGUAUUUCGGUAUGUAAAGAUCUAUCAGCAGGGAAGAAGAUGACGGUACCUUACUAAGAAGCCCCGGCUAACUACGUG
rnacentral:rRNA from 1 species